UCAUCUGAGCGCGCCCGCAACACGGGGCUAUAAAUAGAUAAGCCACAGGUGCAUCAACAGGUCUUUUGUCUUCAGAUCAUUCUGUGGAUGUGUGCGUCAGGAAGAUUCUUUUUGUCUACUACAGAUCUUCGUACGAUGACCCAACGAAACACUGGAGUGGAUGUUGACUUGAUCCCGGAUCAAUGGACUCUACAUAAGUCAUGACUGUACCAGCAAAUGGAGCUCUUAGAGAAGAUAACCUGGCCUGCUGUGAAGAGGAUGCUGGGCCAUGAAUGUCCUGAUGAGAGUCCGAGCUGAAUAACAGCACUUCCUUAGUGACACACAGGACUCUGAAGAUGAGCCCUUUGAGGACAUCUGUGCAUUUGGUUAACCCUAAAAGAUAGUGUUAUUUUGCAACAUCUACCAAUUUUAGCAGACUCUGUUGUAAUUCUAUCAGGCCACAAGUUUGUUCUGAUGCUUUGUUUGAUGUUCAUUGUACAGUGCUGAUUUGCUUACCUAAAAGACAUUUUUGGUUAAAAGGACAAGGAUGAAAGAGGAAGGGAGGAGAUGGCAGGUUGACAGAAUGUUGUUUGAAUAAUAUUAUUAUUAAUUAUUUUAAAAUCUAAAUUUCAUAAUAUAUUUAAUAAAUGUUUAUAAAUAAAUAGGUGACAGUUAAUCUGGGUCUUUUCUUUUCCUUUUUUUCUUUUUUAUUUUUUUGGCUAGUAGAAGUUCUGAAUGGCCAGUAACCACACAACAAAUAAACUGUAAAUAAUAACAUACUGAAACAUGCUACUUAUUAAUUAUUGCAUGCCUUUUAUAUUUAGUUGUAAACUAAUGAUUUUAACUUAAAAAAAAUACAUAAAUGAUAUCUGGAGAUUAAAAUAUCCAAUGGACAAACAUCACUUUUUUCUCUCAGAAGUAAAUAAAUCAUACUCCAGGAUCAAUUUAUUUUAGGUGAUUAUAAAAUAAAUUAAUGAAACAUCAUAAUGGAAUAAUUUCUGGUCACUCAGUGGUGACAAUCUCUCUAGAUUUAUUAGAAAUUUAGCCUAGCUAUAACUGCCGUUUUAAUCCUUUGCUCUGUCAUGCCAGUUUUUGUGAGCAUUCAACAGAGUUUUUUAUUUUUUUAUUGAAAUACAGAGACAUUUGAAUCUGUAAAACAAUAAGAUCGAAAUUCUGCAUCCUGUAUCACAUAUCAAUCAUGUUCCUAAUACAUUAAGUAUCCUUUUCAGCAGUUUAGAUGUCUUUAGAGCUUUUCGAUUAUUCUGUAUUGAAGUGAGAGAGUCAUAAAAAAUCUUCAGAUCAGUGGAAAAUAGUCUACCAUUUGGUACAGUCGAUAUACAUUUUGCUUUAUGUAUAUGAUAUUUUCCUAAUAGAGUAAGAAGUUUAAUUAUAUUAUCCAUUUCCAAUAAACCAGUAUCACAAUCCAUAAACAAGACCAUUAUAUCAGUUAUUGUGACAAACUUAUAAAAUAACUCAAAAAGAAACCAAGAAACUUGGGACCAAAAUAAUUUGGUAUAAUUACAACUGAAAAAUAAGUGUACAAUUGUUUCAUUUUCUUCUUUACAGAAACUACAUAAUGGCGAAAACCCUUCUUUAAACUUACUAAUAAAAUCAUUACAUGGAUAGUAUCUGCUUAUUAUUUUAAAGUGAGUUUCUUUGACUUUAUUAGGAAUUACAUAUUUAUUUAUAUCGGACCACAAAUUCUUAAAACCAAGGAAUUGGUAAUCCUGUUUCCACUUCACCAUUGCCUUAGGUGAAGAACUUUUUUCUUUGGUUAAAAUUCUUCUAAUAUAUAUAUUAUUAAUUUUUUUUUUAUCUCUAAUGGAAAGGCCCCCAACAGUCAGACUAGGAAGAGAACCAAUUACAGGAUUAUACAUCUUUUCGUUUUUUAUAAGAUAAAGUAGUUUCGGGGAGAUACAGUGAAUGAGUUUAAAAUAUUCUUUAGAAGAUACAUUUGUCCCAAGAUAAUUAACAAAUUCAUUAUAAUUAUAUAGGUCACCUGAUUGAUUUAUCAAUUCUGUAACAAAAAUUAUACCUUUGUUAAACAAAUCGUGUUUGAUCCAGUUAAUUUUAAAUAUAUUAUUGAUAGUGUCAAAGUCUAAAGCAUUUAGUCCUCCUUCUGAUACACUUCUGAUUAUGGUUUUCAUUUUAAUAUAUUCUGUUUUACCUCUCCAAAUAAAUUUAAAUAAAAUUUUAUCAACUGCGGCACACAUUUUAGGAUCUACAUAAAGAGAUAACGCUGGAUAUACAAUUCUGGAGAUCCGUUCAGCCUUUGAAAUCAAUACACGACCUUGAAUAGAUAAAUUUCUUUGGCGCCAACAGUUAAAGGUAUUUCAUGUUUUUUGUAAUCUUUGCGAAAAAUUCUCUGUUAGUCUCUCUGUGUCUGAUUUACUAAUUACAAUACCCAAGUAUCUAACUAAUUGUUUAACCUGUAUUCCAGAUAUACUUGAGUCUUCUAGUUGGUGUACAGCCAUAAUCUCACUCUUAGACUGAUUCACAGAUAGACCUGAGGCAUCAGAGAACAAUUUAAGUGCCUCCAGAAUAACAGGGACCUGAUCUUUGUUUUUCAAAAAUAAACAAGUGUCAUCAGCUAGUUGACUGAUAGUUAAGGUGAAAUCUCCUAUCUCAAUACCUUUGAUUUGAGAGCAAUGCAGAGUGUAAAGAUUCAAAGUUUCAGCUACUAAUAAAAAUAAAAAUGUGGAAAUAGGGCAUCCCUGUCUAAUGCCUCUUUGGAUACCAAAACGAGAAGACGUACCACUGGAUAAAGAAACACUACUUGAGAUAUUAUUAUAGAGUGUGUGCAUCAUA
ensembl:lncRNA